AAGGAAUAUUGCUCAAUGGGAGAAAUCCUGAAGCAGCAACGCCGCGUGGAGGAUGAAGGGUCUAUGACUUGUAAACUCCUGUAAAGAAGGAAAAAAUUCUCAUUUGAUGGGAGAUGAUGGUACUUCUGGAGUAAGCCCCGGCUAACUACGUGCCAGCAGCCGCGGUAAUACGUAGGGGGCAAGCGUUGUCCGGAUUUACUGGGUGUAAAGGGUGCUCAGGCGGAUUUGUAAGUCAGAGGUGAAAUCUUACAGCUUAACUGUGAAACUGCCUUUGAUACUGCAAGCCUAGAGUAUGGAAGAGAGUGAUGGAAUAUCUGGUGUAGCAGUGAAAUGCGUAGAUAUCAGAUAGAACACCAAUGGCGAAGGCAGUCACUUGGUCCAUUACUG
rnacentral:rRNA from 1 species